rnacentral:rRNA from 1 species
CUCGGCCAGAGACUCAGCGAACUUGUAUUAUCGGUGAAGAUGCCGAUUACCCGCAACUAGACGGAAAGACCCUGUGAACCUUCACUAUAGCUUGGCAAUGAAUUUUGGAACGGUAUGUGUAGGAUAGGUGGGAGACUUUGAGACGGGGGCGCUAGCCUUCGUGGAGUCGACGUUGAAAUACCACCCUUAUUUUUCUGAAAUUCUAACCUGGGCCCAUGAUCUGGGCCGGGGACAUUGCCUGGUGGGUAGUUUGACUGGGGCGGUCGCCUCCCAAAGUGUAACGGAGGCGCCCAAAGGUUCCCUCAGGCUGGUCGGAAAUCAGCCUUCGAGUGUAAAGGCAUAAGGGAGCUUGACUGCGAGACUGACAGGUCGAGCAGGUACGAAAGUAGGGCUUAGUGAUCCGGUGGUCCCUCGUGGGAGGGCCAUCGCUCAUCGGACAAAAGGUACUCCGGGGAUAACAGGCUUAUCGCGUCCAAGAGUUCACAUCGACGACGCGGUUUGGCACCUCGAUGUCGGCUCAUCGCAUCCUGGGGCUGAAGUAGGUCCCAAGGGUUUGGCUGUUCGCCAAUUAAAGCGGUACGAGAGCUGGGUUCAAAACGUCGUGAGACAGUUUGGUCCCUAUCUGUUGUGGGCGUAGGAGAUUUGAGAGGAUCUGUCCCUAGUACGAGAGGACCGGGAUGGACGAACCUCUAGUGUGCCAGUUGUCCCGCCAGGGGCAGUGCUGGGUAGCUAUGUUCGGUCGGGAUAACCGCUGAAAGCAUCUAAGCGGGAAACCCACCUCAAGACUAGAUCUCCCGGGGAGCAAUCCCCCUGUAGGCCCCCGGUAGACCACCGGGUUGAUAGGCUGGGCGUGUAAGGGUGGUAACAUCCUAAGCUAACCAGUACUAAUAGGCCGUGCGGCUUAACCAC